rnacentral:sRNA from 1 species
AUUCUGCCCAUGCGGGGAAGGAUGAGAAGCUUCGACCAAGGUUCGACUCGAGCGCCAGCGAGAGAGCGUUGCCGCAGGCAACGACCCGUAGGGCGAAGCGCGCAGCGCUGAGUAAUCCUUCUCCCACCACCA